rnacentral:rRNA from 1 species
AACGCGAAGAACCUUACCUGGGCUUGACAUGCCUGGAUUAUCCCUGUGAAAGCAGGGUAGGCCCUUCGGGGUACAACUGGCACAGGUGCUGCAUGGCUGUCGUCAGCUCGUGUCGUGAGAUGUCGGGUUAAGUCCCUUAACGAGCGAAACCUUUGCCCUUAGUUACCAGCGGGUUAUGCCGGGGACUCUAAGGGGACUGCCGGUGUCAAACCGGAGGAAGGUGGAGAUGACGUCAAGUCCUCAUGGCCUUUAUGCCCAGGGCCACACACGUGCUACAAUGGGGUGCACAAAGCGAACCAAGAGCGCAAGCUGGAGGAAAUCGCACAAAUCACCCCCCAGUUCAGAUCGGAGGCUGCAACCCGCCUCCGUGAAGAUGGAAUCGCUAGUAAUCGCGGAUCAGCUACGCCGCGGUGAAUGUGUUCCCGGGCCUUGUACACACCGAUAGC